CUACGCGCUAGGAGUCAGCCAAGCUGAGACACUACCUGGGACCCCGACAGAUGACGCCACAGGGGAGAAACAGACCAGAGGACCCCCUGCCCCAGAUGAACUGGUAUUCACGCUGUUUCCACACAUACUUCCACUUUCUGGGGAUGCCACCCCACCAAAACUCCUCUAUAAAGCCACUCCAUCAAACGUCGCUUCUGAUGCAAGUGGUCAACCACCUAAUGAGGGCCAGACGGAGGAGCAGUCAGAAAGAUUUCCCCAGAAGCAGCUGAUUCCUGAGCUCCCCAUCUGGCCCAGUGCAGAGAG